rnacentral:tRNA from 1 species
AUAUAGCUCAGUGGUAGAGCACUUGCCCCCCAUGUGUGUAUGGUGCUCUGGGUUCAAUCCCCAGUAU